rnacentral:rRNA from 1 species
ACGAACGCUGGCGGCGUGCCUCAUACAUGCAAGUUGAGCGCUGAAGGUUGGUACUUGUACCAACUGGAUGAGCAGCGAACGGGGGAGUAACGCGUGGGGAAUCUGCCUUUGAGCGGGGGACAACAUUUGGAAACGAAUGCUAAUACCGCAUAAAAACUUUAAACACAAGUUUUAAGUUUGAAAGAUGCAAUUGCAUCACUCAAAGAUGAUCCCGCGUUGUAUUAGCUAGUUGGUGAGGUAAAGGCUCACCAAGGCGAUGAUACAUAGCCGACCUGAGAGGGUGAUCGGCCACAUUGGGACUGAGACACGGCCCAAACUCCUACGGGAGGCAGCAGUAGGGAAUCUUCGGCAAUGGACGAAAGUCUGACCGAGCAACGCCGCGUGAGUGAAGAAGGUUUUCGGAUCGUAAAACUCUGUUGGUAGAGAAGAACGUUGGUGAGAGUGGAAAGCUCAUCAAGUGACGGUAACUACCCAGAAAGGGACGGCUAACUACGUG